UUUCACCUCACUUUCUUCACCAUCUUCAUCAAAACCAAACCAACCUUCAGUUUCAGCAUGGUGGAAAACAACUGAAAAAUACUACCAUCUCACCUCAAAGAAAAAAUCUACCCAGCUUUCACUUUCCUUAAACAAGCAAAUUCUCGAUGAGAAUUACUCAUUAGGAAAAUCCUUAACAAACAAAAACAUUAUCCAAUUAGCUUCCAAAGGUGAACACAAAGAUUCCAUCAACGUUGUACUAACAUCCUCUGAUGUUUCUGUAGAACGUUUUUGUAUGGACCGAUGUGGCACACACGGUUCUUCUUCUUCAUUGGUACCCAGAAAAGGCAAGGUUGCAAAAUUUGCUUACAUUUGGGUUGGAAACUCAGAAACACAGUGUCCAGGGCUAUGUGCUUGGCCAUUUCACCAACCAAUUUACGGUCCACAAAGCGCACCAUUGGUUGCACCAAACAACGAUGUAGGGCUUGAUGGAAUGGUGAUAAACUUGGCUAGUCUUUUAGCUGGAACAGCAACAAACCCUUUUGGAAAUGGUUACUUUCAAGGUCCUUCUGAAGCUCCUCUUGAAGCCGCUUCAGCUUGUCCUGGUGUUUAUGGCAAAGGUGCUUACCCUGGUUAUGCUGGUGAUUUGCUUGUUGAUUCUACUACUGGUGCUAGUU
rnacentral:lncRNA from 1 species